rnacentral:rRNA from 1 species
GACGAACGCUGGCGGCGUGCCUAAUACAUGCAAGUCGAGCGAGCUUGCCUAGAUGAAUUUGGUGCUUGCACCAGAUGAAACUAGAUACAAGCGAGCGGCGGACGGGUGAGUAACACGUGGGUAACCUGCCCAAGAGACUGGGAUAACACCUGGAAACAGAUGCUAAUACCGGAUAACAACACUAGACGCAUGUCUAGAGUUUAAAAGAUGGUUCUGCUAUCACUCUUGGAUGGACCUGCGGUGCAUUAGCUAGUUGGUAAGGUAACGGCUUACCAAGGCAAUGAUGCAUAGCCGAGUUGAGAGACUGAUCGGCCACAUUGGGACUGAGACACGGCCCAAACUCCUACGGGAGGCAGCAGUAGGGAAUCUUCCACAAUGGACGUAAGUCUGAUGGAGCAACGCCGCGUGAGUGAAGAAGGGUUUCGGCUCGUAAAGCUCUGUUGGUAGUGAAGAAAGAUAGAGGUAGUAACUGGCCUUUAUUUGACGGUAAUUACUUAGAAAGUCACGGCUAACUACGUGCCAGCAGCCGCGGUAAUACGUAGGUGGCAAGCGUUGUCCGGAUUUAUUGGGCGUAAAGCGAGUGCAGGCGGUUCAAUAAGUCUGAUGUGAAAGCCUUCGGCUCAACCGGAGAAUUGCAUCAGAAACUGUUGAACUUGAGUGCAGAAGAGGAGAGUGGAACUCCAUGUGUAGCGGUGGAAUGCGUAGAUAUAUGGAAGAACACCAGUGGCGAAGGCGGCUCUCUGGUCUGCAACUGACGCUGAGGCUCGAAAGCAUGGGUAGCGAACAGG